CUACGGGAGGCAGCAGCAAGGAAUCUUCCGCAAUGGGCGAAAGCCUGACGGAGCAACGCCGCGUGUGGGAUGACGCCUUUCGGGGUGUAAACCACUUUUCUCAGGGAAGAAGGUCUGACGGUACCUGAGGAAGAAGGACCGGCUAACUACGUGCCAGCAGCCGCGGUAAUACGUAGGGUCCGAGCGUUGUCCGGAGUUACUGGGCGUAAAGCGCGCGCAGGCGGCGGUGUAAGCAUGGCGUGAAAGCCCCAGGCUCAACCUGGGAGGGUCGUCGUGGACUGCACCGCUUGAGGGCGGUAGGGGCUGGUGGAAUGCCUGGUGUAGUGGUGAAAUGCGUAGAGAUCAGGCGGAACACCCGUGGCGAAGGCGGCCAGCUGGGCCGACCCUGACGCUGAGGCGCGAAGGCGUGGGGAGCGAACGGGAUUAGAUACCCGAGUAGUCC
rnacentral:rRNA from 1 species